rnacentral:rRNA from 1 species
GAUGAACGCUAGCGGCAGGCUUAAUACAUGCAAGUCGUGGGGCAGCAUGAAUGUAGCAAUACAUUUGAUGGCGACCGGCAAACGGGUGCGGAACACGUACACAACCUUCCUAUAAGUGGGGAAUAGCCCAGAGAAAUUUGGAUUAAUACCCCGUAACAUAAUGAUGUGGCAUCAUAUUAUUAUUAUAGCUUCGGCGCUUAUUGAUGGGUGUGCGGCUGAUUAGAUAGUUGGCGGGGUAACGGCCCACCAAGUCUACGAUCAGUAGCUGAUGUGAGAGCAUGAUCAGCCACACGGGCACUGAGACACGGGCCCGACUCCUACGGGAGGCAGCAGUAAGGAAUAUUGGUCAAUGGACGCAAGUCUGAACCAGCCAUGCCGCGUGAAGGAUUAAGGUCCUCUGGAUUGUAAACUUCUUUUAUCUGGGACGAAAAAAGGCGAUUCUUCGUCACUUGACGGUACCAGAUGAAUAAGCACCGGCUAACUCCGUGCCAGCAGCCGCAGUAACAC